UACGUAGGGUGCGAGCGUUAAUCGGAAUUACUGGGCGUAAAGCGUGCGCAGGCGGUUCGUUAUGUCCGAUGUGAAAGCCCCGAGCUUAACUUGGGAAUGGCAUUGGAAACUGGCGGGCUGGAGUGCGGCAGAGGGGGGUGGAAUUCCACGUGUAGCAGUGAAAUGCGUAGAGAUGUGGAGGAACACCGAUGGCGAAGGCAGCCCCCUGGGCCGACACUGACGCUCAGGCACGAAAGCCAGGGGAGCGAACGGG
rnacentral:rRNA from 1 species